GAUGAACGCUGGCGGCGUGCCUAAUACAUGCAAGUCGAACGCUGAAGGAGGAGCUUGCUCUUCUGGAUGAGUUGCGAACGGGUGAGUAACGCGUAGGUAACCUGCCUGGUAGCGGGGGAUAACUAUUGGAAACGAUAGCUAAUACCGCAUGACAACAGUUAUUGCAUGAUAACUGUUUAAAAGGGGCAACUGCUCCACUACCAGAUGGACCUGCGUUGUAUUAGCUAGUUGGUGAGGUAACGGCUCACCAAGGCGACGAUACAUAGCCGACCUGAGAGGGGGAUCGGCCACACUGGGACUGAGACACGGCCCAGACUCCUACGGGAGGCAGCAGUAGGGAAUCUUCGGCAAUGGACGGAAGUCUGACCGAGCAACGCCGCGUGAGUGAAGAAGGUUUUCGGAUCGUAAAGCUCUGUUGUAAGAGAAGGACGAGUGUGAGAGUGGAAAGUUCACACUGUGACGGUAUCUUACCAGAAAGAGACGGCUAACUACGUG
rnacentral:rRNA from 1 species